rnacentral:rRNA from 1 species
AAACUUAGCAUAUCAAUAAGCGGAGGAAAAGAAACUAACAAGGAUUCCCCUAGUAACUGCGAGUGAAGCGGGAAAAGCUCAAAUUUAAAAUCUGGCGGUCUCCGGCCGUCCGAGUUGUAAUCUAGAGAAGUGUUAUCCGCGCUGGACCGUGUACAAGUCUCCUGGAAUGGAGCGUCAUAGAGGGUGAGAAUCCCGUCUUUGACACGGACUGCCAGGGCUUUGUGAUGCGCUCUCAAAGAGUCGAGUUGUUUGGGAAUGCAGCUCAAAAUGGGUGGUAAAUUCCAUCUAAAGCUAAAUAUUGGCGAGAGACCGAUAGCGAACAAGUACCGUGAGGGAAAGAUGAAAAGAACUUUGGAAAGAGAGUUAAACAGUACGUGAAAUUGCUGAAAGGGAAACGCUUGAAGUCAGUCGCGUUGGCCGGGAAUCAACCUUGCUUUUGCUGGGCGUAUUUUCUGGUCGACGGGUCAACAUCAAUUUUGACCGUUGGAUAAAGUCUGAGGGAAUGUGGCUUCUUCGGGAGUGUUAUAGCCCUUGGUCGCAUACAACGAUUGGGAUUGAGGAACUCAGCACGCCGCAAGGCCGGGUACUUGUACCACGUUCGUGCUUAGGAUGUUGGCAUAAUGGCUUUAAUCGACCCGUCUUGAAACACGGACCAAGGAGUCUAACAUGCCUGCGAGUGUUUGGGUGGAAAACCCGAGCGCGUAAUGAAAGUGAAAGUUGAGAUCCCUGUCGUGGGGAGCAUCGACGCCCGGACCAGACCUUUUGUGACGGAUCCGCGGUAGAGCAUGUAUGUUGGGACCCGAAAGAUGGUGAACUAUGCCUGAAUAGGGUGAAGCCAGAGGAAACUCUGGUGGAGGCUCGUAGCGAUUCUGACGUGCAAAUCGAUCGUCAAAUUUGGGUAUAGGGGCGAAAGACUAAUCGAACC